UGAAAUCUGAAAGGGAAAGGCAAGCAAACAAGUUGUCACAGCCACUCACUGGGCAGAAAGGGGCUGAGUCACAAUACGGAGGAAUGACACUCAGGCUCCAGGCAGCUUUGGGACCGGAAAUCAGCUCUGCCAAUGGGGCGUGGCCAAGUCACUGUGACCUUGGAAGGAGAUGUGGAAGGGGUAGAGCUUACAAGAGGAUGUCACUUCCUAUGGCUCAUGGAGAGGAGUUUCUUUAAAAGACAAGUCAGCAGACUGUCCUUGUGCAUAACUGUGGUGCCUUUCUGACAAGAGCCAUCCUGGGGGGGCAGAGGGGCAUCUCCAUUUUUGCUGCUCAUUUCUGCAGAGCACUGGAGAGCAGGUGUGGUCGCAGAAGGUUGACUGUCUUGCUGAGCUCCCCAAACCCAAUUACACGGUAUGCUUAUCUUCCAGAACAUCUGUCUAGCAGGGACUGGUUGGACAGGGGGCCCCAUAGCCACUCAAGAAUUUUUGUUUCUCAUUUUCCUGCCCCACUGAGGUCCCAGGGCUUAAUGGAAUGUGAAACUGUACGGUUUCCUCUGCACUAGCUAACUCAGAAGCAACAGUUUCUUAAGCAAUGGUUUCUUAAAAAGCUCGGAAGAUCAACUCAACAUUCCGUGGGAGCCUUUCCCCGGCAGAUAAAAUACCCUAGCUGAGUGGAAAGCAAGCAAACUGGUACUGGGGUUCAGGACCCACGCGAAGCCUCCGAGAGCACUAAUGGAGAAGAGUAUUGUGCUUCCACCCAGAGGCGGCACCAAACUCCAGCAGGGACACGGGAAUGUGAAGGGUAGGGCUGGCCCUUCGCAGCAUGGGAAGAAGGAGGAGAUGCUUUUGAAUGAAAGCCCUGAUGUUUAAUGUUCUCCUGUAUAAAGGCCAUGACCCUGGAAUGUCUCCAACCUAAUCUAACAGUUGACCUCAACCAAGUCCUUAAGGCUCCAUCCCUCAUUUGCUAUGUUUUCAAGCUUUUUAGAGAAUUAAUGUUGAAUUUAGUGUAAGAGGUUACAUCUGACAUGAGGCUUGGCCGACCAGAACACCCACCAGCUACCACUGGUUAAUGGCAACCUGCGUGGGCAUGUUCUGAACUCUUUUAGGCCAAUGUCGUGAACCUGGUUGGCCCUCUAUGAAUGUUUGCUGCUCCUGGUUCUGAUGCUUCAGGAUGUGGGAACUUGGGUCACAUGUGGGAAAGGAUCUGGACUGAUGUGUUCCCUAAGCUCAGGAGGCCAGGGGCUCCUGUGGCGGAUGCAGAAACUGAUGUCUCAUUGUUCUCUUUUGUGGAAUUUAUCUGGUCAAGGAAGAGACAUCAAGGAAGAGAAAGUCAUUCUGGCUCAUUCUCAAAGUCAGUCUCCAGGUCAUUUCCUAGCCUGGCCUUGAGCACAUCCCAGCUUCUGGUUGGGCCCUAAACCGAAUGACCCCCACAGGGGUGGGUGCUCUAGACAGGGAACCCUGGAAGGCUCAGACCCUGUGAAGUGGUCACAUCACCUCUGAGACUCACAGCUGUCAGCAACCUGGUGUCUGAUAAGCUUUCCUGGACAUCAGAUAACUGUGAAAUAACGUUUUGAUGAAUUAAGUAAAAAACGAAUCACAAACAUGUGGAAUACAUUUUCUUCACUGCACUCAAGAUUUAAAAUUUACAAGGAAAAGUAUUUGGCCACAUUUGCCAAACCUAAGAAGCAUUUGAAAGCAAGCCAGCAAAAGAUGUUUCAUGGAGACCAGCUGGGUUUGCUCAGCUUUGCUCAUAAAGAGGGUCCAUAAAGAAACCGCUUCAGCCUUUACUGUUCUAUCAGCCCCUACUGGAGACACUUCCUUGGGAACGGAGGACUAAAAGAAUUUGGUCAGCUCUUGCCUACCGGGUCCAAAGGCCAGGAAGAUGCCCCUCAUGUCCAUGAGUUCAUUGUCAUAGCCAUGCCACCCACGCUGCCAGCCUUCUCUCCUGCCAGUGCUGUUCAUCCAAAAUGGAAGUGACUCUCGAUUCUGAAACCAAGCAAAGCAGUUACAUUACCCUUUGUCCCAACCAUCAUGAUGAGUGAGCAUCUGGCCCAGACUCCCACCCAGUGUGGGGAUUUCCUUCUCAACAUUCUCCACUGGGGCCAUCCAGCCUCAGCUGGAUCACUUCCUUCUUCAGGUAGCUCAGACCAUUGGAGGCACACCGGUAAAUUGCCACAGAGCUCUAGUUAUAAAAGUAUUUCCUUACACGGAGCUGAACUGUACCUUGUGAUCAGUUUUAGAGCCACUAAAUAUAUCAUGUUAGAGACGGAAGGGAUGUUAAAGUGUAUCUGUGGUAUAGUAAAAGGUAUAUUUGGCUUUGGUCCCAUGUUCCUGACCCAGAGCUCCCAAAACCCUGGGUGUGUCCCGAGUGACAGGAAUUCAUAAUGAGCCCCUUUCUCCCAUAGCCGAGUACAUGGUAAUGGGAUGGCUCACUGCAGUGGGGGGCUGGGCAGCUUCAGGAGGUCACUGGAGGAACCAACCACGUGAUGGGGGGGUUAAAAAUUUCAGCCCGUCCCCUGUGCGCUAAGGCUGCAUUCAGGCUUGUGGCCAACGAUGGUCACUCGUGCCUGUGCCGAGAAACCUGUGUAAAAACCCCGGAGGGCUGUGGCCUAGGGGGCUUCUGGGUAAUUGAACAAAUUGAUGUGCUGGGAGGGCAGUGACCCCAAAGAGAGCAUGGAGGCCUUGUGCCUCACCCCCCCAAACUCGGCCCCAUGCCUCUCUUCCGAUUGGCUGUUCCUGAGUUGUAUCCUCUGUACUGAAACUAAUCAUAAACAGAGCACAUUUCUGAGCUCUGUGAUUCAUUCCACUCAAUUAUCAAACCUGAAAAGGGCUGUGAGAACCUGCCAAUCGCACAUAAGUAUGGGUGGCCCGGGGACCCAGGACCCCGGGGCGCGUGUGGGGUGCGAAGAGGGGGCGGCCCGGUGGGACUGAGCCCCCUGGUGCAGGGGCCGCUCCAACUCCAGACGGUCAGUGUCAGGACUGGGCUGAAUUGCAGGACACCCGACUGCUGUCAGAGAAUUGCUGGAAAAUACAGAGUCUAAUCUAAUCACCUCAUUUCUCUAGCAAACCUGACAAAACCCAGAGGCCUUUCCACCCCACACACCACCCCCAUCUUUCUGUUUUUCUAGCUCCACCCUUGGGAGCAACUUGGGAUAAAUUCAUCCCCUCCCCUCAAACACUUGAAGAUGACACUUCUGUUCCUCUUAGCCAGGGCUCUUACGUUUCCUCCAACAGUCUUCAUCUGGGAUGGGCUCCAGAGCCGUCACUUCUCUGUCACCCUUCUUCCCUUCAGAACUCAAGUUUUCUUGGACCACAGAUGCUUACUUCUGAGACCACGGCUUAAAGAAGGUUCCGUGGGGCCUGAGGAGGCUGCGGCCAGCGGGACAGAACCCUAGCCCUCCACUGCAGACUAAACAUUCUUUCCUGAUAUUCCAGUCACCUUCCGUGGAACAGGGUUCGAUACCACAGACAUUGCAAAUGCAGGAAGUAGACCGACUGGUCAUGAAGGACGCUUGGACCCAACAGUACCAGCAAUUUAUAGGUUGGUGCAUCAGACU